UGCUCGCUUUGGCAGCACAUAUACUAAAA
rnacentral:snRNA from 1 species